rnacentral:rRNA from 1 species
AAAAACUUUCUAAAAGAGUUUGAUCCUGGCUCAGAAUAAACGUUAAUGAUUGGCUUAACACAUGCAAAUUAAAUAAAUUUAUUAAAAUAAUUAUAAAUUAAUAGUGAACGGGUGAGUAAUAUAUAGAAAUUAACCUCAAAUAAUUGUGUAAUGCAUGAAAAGAUUUUAUCGUUUUGAGAAGAGUCUAUAAAAGAUUAAGUUGUUGGUAUAAUAAAAGUAUACCAAGCUAACGAUCUUUAGUUGGUCUGUGAAGAUGAACAACCACAUUGGAAUUGAGAUACGGUCCAAACUUUAUAGAAAGGCAGCAGUGAGGAAUUUUGGGCAAUGAGCGGAAGCUUGACCCAGCUAAAUCAUGUAUGUGAAUAAAACUUUCUGUUUUAAAGCAUUAAAAUUAAUAAAAUAAUGAUAAAUUAAAAAAAGUCCUGGCUAAUUUCGUGCCAGCAGCCGCGGUAAAACGGGAAGGGCAAGCGUUAUUUGAAUUUAUUGGGCGUAAAGCAUAUGUAGGUGGAAACUUAAUUUUUAGUUUAAAUUUUAAAUUUUAUUUUUAGAUUGGCUAAAAAAAUGAUUUUCUAGAGUUUAAGAAAAGAUUAUGGAAUUUUAAAUGUAAUAGUAAAAUGUUUUGAUAUUUAAAAGAACCUCGAUAGUGUAAACAAUAAUCUAGAAUAAUACUGACACUGAGAUAUUAAAGCAUGGGUAGCAAAAGGGAUUAGAUACCCCUGUAGUCCAUGCCCUGAACGAUGAGUGUUAAUUUUUGAGUAUUCAGAAAUAUAGCUAACGCGUUAAACACUCCGCCUGGGAACUAUGAUCGCAAGAUUAAAACUCAAAGGAAUUGACGGGAACCUGCACAAGCAGUGGAGCAUGUGGUUUAAAUCGAUAAUACGCGCGAAAUCUUACCAAUCUUUGCAUAAUAAAAAUUACAGGUGUUGCAUGGCUGUCGUCAGUCCGUGCUGUGAAGCGUUUGGUUCAUUCCAAUAAACGGACAAAACUCUUAUAUAUUUUCGAAUAUAGACUGUUAAAGAUAUCUUAUAAGGAAGGCGAGAACGACGUCAAGUCCUCAUGACCCUAAUAGAUUGGGCUACUUUCAUGUGCUACAAUAAUUUAUACAAAAAGAAGCAAAAAUGUGAGUUUAAGCAAAACUUGGAAAGUAAGUUAUUAUACGAAUUGUUUUCUGUAACUCGAAAAUAUGAAGUUGGAAUUGCUAGUAAUCGUAAAUUAGAAUGUUACGGUGAAUAUGUUCUCGGGUUUUGUACACACCGCCCGUCACGCUAUGGGAAUUUAUUUUAUUUGAAAACUACUUUGCUAAGAUUGUAGUUUAUGGUGAAAAAAGGACUAGAGUGAAGUCGUAACAAGGUAGCCGUAGGGGAACCUGCGGCUGGAAAAUUUAAAUAAUUCUACUAUCCC